GCCGCCGGGGCUGCUCUCAUGAGCUGCUGGCCCCGACCCGACAGUGGCGGCAGGAGGCCCGGGUGUCCUCUCGCAGCCUCUUCCUCGGAGACUCUCUUCGUCGCGCCCCGGAGCCUCCUCGUCCCCCGUCCGCCCUCUCCUGGCGCUCGAGUCCUUCUGCCGCCGCUGGGGGCUCGCCGCGCCGCACUCAGGGACUCCGGGGCCGAGCGCUCGGCGGCGUGGCGCCGGCUGGCUGGCUGGCUGCGUCUCAGGCAGCUCUCUCCGGCGCGGCGAGCGGACCGAGCGAGGCGCCCGGCUGGCUCUGCUGGCGCAGCUCGGGGACAAGAUCCUCUGUGCGCCGAUCAGCGAGCGAAUGUGCCCAGGGCUCGCCGCCUCCCGCAAGGCCUCCCGCCUCCGCCCCCUUCCCUCCCCCCUCUACCCCUCCCUCCCCCGCCCCCAGCCGCCGCCGCCUCCUUCCCGCCCCCCCACCCGUCCCUCUGCUCGGCUGGUUCCACUGCGCAGUGGCGCGCCCGGCUCCGGCCUCGUCACGUGGCCGUCUAGACACCCUGUCGCUUUAAAAAAAAAAAAAAGCGAUUGUGUUUCGCAAACAACAGAUCGGGUUUCUAAAAGCUAUUUCAACCCCCCUCCCAGUUACUGCCACCCUCUCCCAGGUCUAGAGAGGGGUACCCACGGUGGAGGGAGGUGGGAGGCCGAGACGGCCCCGGGGGUCGGCGGAGACCCAGCGGGAGCAGGGGGAAAUCGGAAGAGCUGGGGGCAUGGAGCGGGCGAGUUUGGAGCGGAAUGAGCCGAUCCGCCUGCCUCUGACUCCCGAGUGCUGAGAUUAAAGGUGUGCACCACCACACCCGACAAGGAAGCCUGUUUUAAGAAGUGAUUCCAUGGAGGAGUUCUGCGGCGGCUCAGGGCUUGACUAAACAGUGGACCUCAGUUGAAUAAACUGAAAGCAAAGGGCAGCCUUCUAAUUACGCUUCGUGGCUAUGUGGACAACCUGGAGAAGUCUGGAAACGACACCUUAGGGUUCCUGCUGCAGCUCCAGAACUGGGGGAGCAGGGUUGGGGGUGAGUGUGUGUGUGUGUGUGUGUGUGUGUGUGUGUGUGUGUGUUGACUCACCCUGCAGUAUUCUCUCCAUCUGCACAGGUCCCCAGUCUCUGAGACUGAAUCACCCCUCUUUCACUAUGCCUCUGCACAGCUGCCCUUGUGCUCCCUCUCCUUGCCCCGCCUCUUUUUAAGACAGUAUUAUGCAGCCCUGGCUGUCCUGGAACUUAUGUAAACCAGCCUGGCCUUGAACUUGCAGAGAUCCACCUGCCUUUGCCUCUGCCCCUGCCCCUGCCCCUGCCGAUUGAAA
rnacentral:lncRNA from 1 species